UACGGAGGGUGCAAGCGUUAAUCGGAAUUACUGGGCGUAAAGCGCACGCAGGCGGUCUGUCAAGUCGGAUGUGAAAUCCCCGGGCUCAACCUGGGAACUGCAUCCGAAACUGUCAGGCUAGAGUCUUGUAGAGGGGGGUAGAAUUCCAGGUGUAGCGGUGAAAUGCGUAGAGAUCUGGAGGAACACCGGUGGCGAAGGCGGCCCCCUGGACAAAGACUGACGCUCAGGUGCGAAAGCGUGGGGAGCAAACAGGAUUAGAUACCCUGGUAGUCCACGCCGUAAACGAUGUCGAAUUGGAGGUUGUGCACUUGAGGCGUGGCUUCCGGAGCUAACGCGUUAAGUAGACCGCCUGGGGAGUACGGCCGCAAGGUUAAA
rnacentral:rRNA from 1 species